AAAUAUUCAUCUGAUGCCUAAUACAUACUUCUAGAUAAAUUAAUGAUAGAUUCUAGAAUAUAGUGCUCAGCAAUAAGUCAUCUAAUAUGUAUCAUUUAUAAUAUAUAUCAGUAAAAGACUCAAGUAAGACCUCAUGGAUGGAGAUAUGGCACGUGAGAUAUAAAAGAGGAGAAAGAGACUUGGGAGGAAGAUCCUAUGAAUGGGUGAAAUGGCUU
rnacentral:lncRNA from 1 species